rnacentral:rRNA from 1 species
CCUACGGGCGGCAGCAGUAGGGAAUAUUUCUCAAUGGGGGAAACCCUGAAGCAGCAACGCCGCGUGCAGGAUGAAGGUCUUCGGAUUGUAAACUCCUUUUGUUAGAGAAGAUAAUGAUGGUAUCUUAUGAAUAAGCAUCGGCUAACUCCGUGCCAGCAGCCGCGGUGAUACGGAGGAUGCGAGCGUUAUCCGGAGUCACUGGGGGUAAAGAGUUGGUAGGGGGGGAUAAGAAUUAGCUAGUGAAAUCUGGUGGCUCAACCAAUCAGACUAUUUGCGAAACUGUUAAGCUAGAGAAUGUUAGGGGUAACUGGAAUUUUUAGUGUAGGAGUGAAAUCCGUAGAUAUCAGAAGGAAUACUAAUAGCGUAGGCAGGUUACUGGGACGGAUCUGACACUAAGGCACGAAAGCGUAGGGAGCAAACGGGAUUAGAUACCCGAGUAGUC